UCACUCCCCCAUUCUGCAAUUAAUCGGCGCUCUCAAUCCAGAAACCCUAAGAAGAAAUCGUUGCUUUCCAUCAGCUGUCUUCGCCUCCAUCCUAGCGUUGCAGCAGUCCACGGAAGAAGGAGCGCCGCUGAUGAAAUUUGUCCAACCUUGCUCUCUCAUCGUUUAUGAUUGCAUCUGAUGGAGGGCGGCACUAUCUGCUAUUCAUAGAUGCUCCUACGAUGCUCUUGAUUCCUGCUUCGACGCGAUAGGAUACGCUUAUUACAAUGGUUAGAAAAAGGAAGAAAAAGGAAGGUAACCGUAGAGCCCGCAGAAAAAGGAGAACUCUCGAAGGAAAUCUACAGAAGCUCAAAAUAAGUUUCUGGAUGACGUAAGAGUACAACAACACGCCACUUUGGAGAGGCGCAAAAGAAAAGGACCCGUUGAUGUUAGAAAGGAUGGUUGCAGAGUACCCCGGACCUUGAAUAGUGAAAGAUAUUGUUAUAGGAGAAUGAACACCAUUGUCUUUUGUUCAAAAUAUUUUUAGUAAACUAACUCUUGAUGGUCACUGACCGUUCGGUUUCUUUGGGUGUAUACAUUGAUGGUUUUUGGAUUUCUA